rnacentral:rRNA from 1 species
UACGAAGGGGGCUAGCGUUGCUCGGAAUUACUGGGCGUAAAGGGCGCGUAGGCGGAUAGUUUAGUCAGAGGUGAAAGCCCAGGGCUCAACCUUGGAAUUGCCUUUGAUACUGGCUAUCUUGAGUUCGGGAGAGGUGAGUGGAAUGCCGAGUGUAGAGGUGAAAUUCGUAGAUAUUCGGCGGAACACCAGUGGCGAAGGCGACUCACUGGCCCGAUACUGACGCUGAGGCGCGAAAGCGUGGGGAGCGAACGGG